UCGGGGAGGACGCUCACCACUUUGUGGUUCAUGACUGGGGUGAAGUCGUAACAAGGUAGCCCUAGGGGAACCUGGGGCUGGAUCACCUCCUUAU
rnacentral:rRNA from 1 species